rnacentral:lncRNA from 1 species
UCCGCACCGUUUGUUCCAAGGUAAGUUUCACUCCAUGCUCUUCACCUGCUCGGUAAAGUGCCUGCAUGGGUUAAUCUUUUUUUUACUUCUCCUUCGUUAUGGGCAGAAGCGAAGGCGGAGGUGGAGAUGCGGGAGAGGCCGAGUCCGAGGUGGCAGAGGACGGGCGAUGAAAAUGGCACAGAGUGGUCGCGGGCUCAUUCCGGCGGCCGGCGCACGCAGCCGUGAGGGGUGGGGUGGAUGAGCAAGGGGCGCCGCCGCCGCUGCCUCGUGCGUGCGGGCGAGAAGGUAAGAGGCGGGCAGGGUUGGGGAUUUUCACCGUGCCUAUUUAUUCAGUUUCUUCCGUUCCUAUCCUCCCACAUGAUGGUUGAACACCAACAGGUGGAGAGCGCACACCGCUCCGAUGGAGAAGAACAUGUGAUUCAAAUCGUGUUGUACUAUGUUCUUAUUGUCUUAGUUGGUUGCUCUGUAUGAUAUGGUUGUGUUUGAUUAGUUGUUCUGGAUCUCCGGUACAGAUUUGUUGAUGGUGGAAUGGACGGUACUUU